ensembl:lncRNA
CCACUGAAUGCCAGUUCUCGCCUCGUUCCAAAGACAAAAAAACACAUGAAAGCGCCUCACGUCGGCGGCAGGGGUAGUGACUUCCCGUCGGCAUCUCUCUGGUAAUUUCAUGGUUCCUUUUUUCACAUCUCUUGUGCCAAAAAAAGAGAAAAUGAGCGGGGAGGAUACGCGAGCCGAGGCACCAACCAGCGCCUCUCGUUCUCCCACCGUUCAAAGCCCGUCUCGGCCCGAGACAGUGAGACGCGCUGACGGAAUCCACUUCAGUGACUCCCACAUCCGGCGCUUCCCUUUGCCAGUUUGCCAUCAAUUCUUCAACCACCAGACACGACUACACACACACACACACACACACAUCAGGGGGUGAUUAAGGCCGGCGGGGCUGAGUCUGUUCCGCGGUAGUGAGUAUCUGUCACCCACAGCUGUUUGUAUGCCAGACACAUCGCUUUCAGGUGAUUAAAUCCCCACAGCCAUCUUAUCGGAAGGCAGCAGGACAGGUAAGUGCACUCCGCUGGCAACCGUUGACUUGAGGGAUGUGCUGCACAUUUUUAAAGAGACAUCCCAAUUAUGCACACCACUUCCUGCCCGGGUGCCUUAGUUAAAUCUUGCAUAAUCAGAACCAGACUUAGGCUGAACCAAAUUGGUUGUCUUGGGUCCUCCAGUAUGUAGAGAUUAGACGGGCCUCUCGGCUGUCGACGCGGCAUCGACAUGGAGUCACAGUAUAAACCACCUGUCAUCCCACAGACGCAACAACACCGCGUCUGUGUUCCCGACCAGCAACUACGCAACCAACAAGUAGCACCGUGCAAAGAGCAGUAACAAAAUAAGCUGGCGGCGUGUCCACAUGCUUCGUAACGGCGCGCAGCACCACUAAACUUGCCAAAACGCAGCCCGCCGGUCGCCCCAGACCCAACCUCUCCCCGAGGCCCGGGAGCUUUGCCGCUGUAAUCUUCCGUGCUCUCCCCCGCGGCCGGAUGAGGGUAUUAGCGGCACGAAUAAUUAGGUCAGAUGUCCUGUUCUGGGCCUGCGGUGCCCGGCUGCUUCCACCGCGGCUCCGAUGCCGACGCGCGGAGGGAUUCCUCGUGAGAGGCGAGCGCGGGGCGCUCAUGGGGGCCAAAGGGGUGACCGAUGUGACGUUGUUGACGUUGGGUCGUAUUUUCAUCCCCUUAAUGCUCGCUCACACCCGUCUGAAGUGUUUCCGACGACCGGCCGGCUAAUUGACUGUGUGAGUGGAAUCGAUGUUGUGAACUGGAUGUGCUUUUCAGCUCCUCCAACGGUGCAGCAGUUCAGCGAGAGUUCAGCAUACCGCAGUAAAUGGUGAGGGAUUUGUUUGUGGCUCCGCUGGCGGGACAAGAGUCAACAAAAGCCCCAGAUGGAGAAAGAAAUAACCCUUUUUGUGCUUUUUUUAAAUCCGGUUAAACCAAAUGGAGUCAUUCCGUGUCUGAGCAGAUUUCUUUGUCUUCUGUUUUUUUUUUUUAUUCACCUGAACACCCCGAGAGGGUGAGCUGUAACGAGGCCACUGGUCUCACACAUGGGACACACACACACACAACCUUGGUGCAAUUGGCCUCCUCUUCCUCACGUUUCAGGGUCAAGGUGGGAUUUUCUUUCAGCCUAUGAACGACUCACAAACACACACACACACGCAAAAGUACACAAAGAUCUACACGUCGAAGCGCACAUGACCACCCAGAGGUGGCGGGGGAGGGGCUUCCGCUCUCAUGUCCAGGGCGCCACCGAGAUGGGGGCGCAACGUUGAUAUCCGUCCCCGGGAAAAUUGGAUGGUUUCCACUGGGUGAACUCUACGGACUUUGAGGCACGCAGUUGCUUAGCAACAGCAGAACCGCAUCACGCUCUUAGUGUCUGCAUAUUCCAGCGUUUGACUGAGACCCAAGUUGAGGAUCUGAAAUGAUUACAGUUUAUGUAAAUACACUUUAGUUGCAUCAGACAGGCAAAUAAACAACUUCAAACCAUAAGAUUUCCUGUUAUGAUUUAUCGUGCUUUUUGUUUAAACUGCACUCAGAAAGCAUUUCCACAGAAUAGUUUGAAUUGUAUACGCAAGGGAACAUAAUAAACGACCCCAUCUCAGGAUUCUUUUUUAAAAGCUCUGAAAUCUGUUGAACUCAUUUCAUCUAUAGACUCGCAUCCGUUGCUGGGCAGCAUUUCCCUUCGUGCCCUCACUACUAACUCCACACGCCGGCCUGCAUGUUUGGAUUUCACGUCUGAGGGGGACUGUGAAGCUGCUUCUUGUGUGUGCUGCUCUAAUCACUUUAUUAACUUCGGCAGAACAUCACACGACGCGAGGGUGUUGUGCUCGUGCACGAGAGAUUAUGGGUGGGGGGUGUGGGGGGGUUCUUGAUUGCUUGACGCUCCCUGGACGUCUCCAUAUCCAUCCAACUGUUUGUUUUUUUCUUCCUUCCCUUCAUCUCUCUUCAUGGUACCAGGAAUGAAAGAAGCUCUGUUGGGUGUGUGUGCGUGUGCGUGUGCCAAGCCAAAUAUUUGAUAAGGCUUUACAUUGCCCAAAUAGACCCCCGACCUGUCGACAAAUUCCUUGGCUGAGAAAAAGGAUUUCAUUACAUGAGAGGGAUUUUCUGCGUGUGUGCGCUGGGGGGCCGGAGGUCUGAAUCAAGCCAACAGCCAUCCAGUCAUUUCAGUGUAUCCUCAAUUAUCUCCUCACAUCUGCCUCGGCUGCUGGUUCACAUCUGGCCUCACCGUGCUCUCAUCGAUUGUUGUACGUACGAUGCUGCGGCUGAGUGUGAUGUACUUAUGAUGUGUUGUUUGCCAGUAGACUCCAGAACGGGGACAUAACGUCUUUACCAAAUCUCAUAUCCAAUCAGCGUCAUUUCACACAAUAGUAGGAUACAUCAUCUGGAGACCAUGAACACACAGUUAUGUGUCGCUGCUGAUGGAAGAUGUCGAGUUUAUUUUAGUUUGGAGUGAAAACUAUCACCUUUAAACCUCUAAUGUAAUGCCGACUCCUCCUUUGUUUCCCUCUCAGACUUGAAAGGGAAAAACCUGCUGCAAGCUGAGACUGUGUGACGUGAGGUCUGGACACCAGUGACAAUAAAGUCACACUCCUCCGCGACAAACAGCACACCACAAUGGGACUUUUCACCUGUUUGUCAAGUGAGUAAUUAAGCUAUUGAUUUGUGUCAGUGAAGCAAAGCGCUGUCGGGGGUCUCUGCUCGUUCUGGCUGUCAGACCAUGGGAUCGAUAUCAAUUUCAUAUCAAAUCAAGGUCUGAGACACGUUUAGCUCGGCUCAGCUGAGAUGGUGGAAGCGGUCAAAAGGUUCCUACCAAAUCUCACAAAGAAAUUCAUUUAAAUAAAAUGGAGGAAGUGAUUUAUUUGAGUCUCCGGGGUGGAAACUAUCUCUAAAUGGAGCUUUACAAUAGAAAGUUUCCAUAAAACAUCCUCAAAGAUUCACUCCGAGUCCUGACUCCUCCACACAUCCCUCUUCUAGAGACAUUCUAGAACUUUAGAUAUAAAAUGCUUUUUAAUUGCAUUCAGGUGUUUCCCCCCUUUCACAGUAUUCAUCAUAUCUUGCUUUCCAAUAAAAUGUCCACCCUCCUGUAACGCGAGAGCCGGCGCUAAGUAGCGGCGGCGGAGAGCUGGAAGGAGACGGAUUUUCUCAGGCUCCGUGCAGACGAGGAGCCACACAUCAUCGCGCGCAGCUUGUCAGCACACUUACAGCUUCUCCCCCUGCGAGAUUGUUCCCCAUAACCCCCGUGGCCUACAUGAAUGACGGCCAGGUACCGGAUGAAGGUCUCUCUCUCUCUCUCUCUCUCUCUCUCGCUCUGACCUUUCACUCAAUGCCCCACACAAAACCAAAGAGCGAUGUGUGAUGGGUUUUAGGACGAUUAGCUCCAUCAGGUGUGACCCGAGGCGACCCGGAGUGACGGGCGUGCGCGUGAAAAGCAGAAAGCAGCUUCAGUCCUCAUGCAGGGACACUUGUCUCCAACGAUGAGCGAAAAAAUCACUUGUAAGUUCAAGUUAUCGCUGCUGUUGAGAAAAGCACAAGGUGGUAAAGGAAGGUUUAGCAAUGAGUGAUGAUUCAAGUCUUACAACUUUAGGUGAGCAAACCUAUCCGUUCAGCUCCACAGCUUCCUCCCCUCCGUGCAGCACAAUUAAACUUGUCUCUGGUAUCUCCCGUUAACAAACAGCCUCUGCCUGGUGGUCAUUUUUCACCCCCGCUAUCUUGAUCUUCUCUCUGCCUGUGUGUCUCCGUCGGCCUCGGCGUGUUUGUUUGGAGAGCACAGCUCGCCCAGAACGACGCGGAAGUACGUCAGCGCCGCUGGCUCCUGCUCAGAAAAAGGCAACAGGAAGAGACCACUCAGAGAGAAAAGGAGACAGGAGGGGCUGGCGAAGGAGAGAAGGGGUGAAGGGUGAAGGAGGAGGACUGAUAACUGAAAGAUUUUCAUGUUUUGGGUUUUAUUGAGCGCCGCCUUGAACAGAUUGGUCGGGACUGAAUGUCUUUAAAGGGUUGGUUCAGCCAAAUGGCAGAAACAUGUACGGUUUCGGCCCCACUCCUGUUCUUCAAACGUCUGUGUUUGUAAAAAUAAAAACCCUUUAAGAGAAGUGCUGCUGGCAGAUAUUAAACGUCCGAGGAGUAGGGAGUCUUCGUCCUCGAGGUCUUCUCUCUUUUUGAAAUGAAACUUGAUAUUGGCCUCCAUCCAUGACGACUAACUGUGAAAGACACGCUAUGAACCGACAUGAAGGAGCUACUUCAAAUGCGAUUUACAGGAAAACACCAUCUUGGCACAAUACGGCACGGUUACAUCUGAAGUGUGUAGCCAUCCCAAAAUGACGGAGUUGAGUGUGAAUGCAUUGCAUCUUCAAUAUUUAAAAACAACAUUUUUUUGUUCCAAUCAGAAGGUCUGAUGAUCAAGGACACAUUCUCUCAAAAGAGUUUUUUUUUUUUAAAUGUCAGAACAAACAUUGAACUCUAUCUCUAUCACGUUAGGCUUGUGAAGCUCAAAACAACAGCUCCUGAAACUACGCAGGCCGGUCUGCGUUGUCGGUUUAAUGAUGACAAAGUCAGUAGCCUGGAGUCGGUGGAACUGGAUCUUUACCAAGCUCUCAGUUAACGAUGGAUAGAUCGCAGUUCCUCUAAUGUUUUUCUGGCAUUGAGCGAGGAGAUAAUUAGAGUAAAAGCUGAAGUUAUGGCCGUCUGUGCAUUAAUCCCGUGAUGUUCAUUCUCUCUCUCCUGCCUGGAUCAGCACUCGGGCUUUGAUCUUGCUCUCCACAUAACAAGGCCCCAGGGUCUACAAGACAGUAGAAAAAGUCCAAACUACACACUGUGUGUGUGUGUGUGUGCACGUAGCCGUGCACAUAUGUGUAUGAGUGAACAUACUUAAAAGUAUGUGUUGAAUAUCGUCUUGUUUAUGUCAGGCAGAUUUUUCCUCUGGGACGAAAUCUUCAAGGUUUUUUUUUUUUCCUAUUCCUAUUCUCUUAAACGAUUACUCCACUUUUAUUAGUGUGUCUUUUAGUGAUGCUGCUUGGCUGAAUUAUUAAACAGUUGCAGACGGAGAUAACUUUUCUCAUAAGGCGUCCGAGCGUGAUAAAAAAAAGGGUUAUUCUGUAUUAUCUAAAAGCUGACGGUUCCCUGUAAAAAAAAAAAUAUCUAAUACAAAAAUCUGGGAGACUUUUAUUAAAGCUUUUGGAGGAGUGCCGUUUGAAAUGUACAAUCUUUACAGUCACGUUUGAAUGAAUUGUGAGGAGAUGCAUAGAAAAGUGCAAGCUGGAAAGAAAGGACAAUAUGUCCCCCGGCAGAGAGACGCGGGUCGAUCCCCAUGUCACAUCUUCUCGUCUCUUUCCCAGUGAAAACAACAUCAUGCACCUCAUCUUGUUUGUGUCUCUCUCGCCAGACAGGAUGUUUUGAGGAGUAAGACAGCGGGGUCACGGUCUGAUUCAGAAAGGACGAUAAAGAUCAACCAUUUCCUUUGCAUCGUGUGCGUGUGUGUGUGUGUGUGUGUGUUUGUUCCUGUGUGUAUAUCCUCCUCCAUAAUAACCCAAACGUUUUUGCUUUGUUGGGAAAAGGCUCAUCUACGAAACAUUAAUAAUUGAUCUAUUAACUGUAGAAGCAGCAACCACCCCAUGGAUCCCUCGUGAUGAACGCCUGUUUGGUACGUGGCCCCGUGUUGACUGAAUGUUAUGAAUUAAUAAACAUCCAGUUCAUUCCUUCAUCACAUUAAGCAGAACAAAUGUGUAAGAACGAAACGUUACUUUCCCAAAGCCUCCGACUAACACAUCAUGCUGAAAAGUAGGGCUUAGUUUCUUGAUUAACUGAUUAUCUUAAAAUAAUAAAUAUAAUGUUAUAAAUAGACAUUAUAAUAAAUCUUAUUUCAGGAAAUGUGACCAAACAACAGUCCAAAACCCAGAGAUAUCUGUGUGCAUGCGAGCUGAUAGUCAGUUAGGAAUUUGCUGGUUGGAGCGCUUGCGAGCGCACUAAUUGUACUCCGACCGAAACGAGCAGCCACGUAGCCGAUAGCCAAGUGCCCCUCAACCGCAGGCAGGGCAGCGUUUGACCCGACUAUUUGGAAGUGAAGCAUAAAGCGAGGGAUUAUGGGCUGCCUGCGGGAGUAUUUGUUAAAAUGGACACAGGUUACCGUGAGUGGGAGAGAACAUUCAGAAUCCGCGCUGCCUGCUUUAAUUUGAGUUACUGUGAAACCGAAGCAGAAGACGUAGAAAACUACAGCCGAAUGGCUUGAGAAAUCCCCCCCCAGGGGCAGUAAACACAGCACACAAACACAGGCAAGCGGACAUAAAUGGGAUUUUUGGAGUGAGGCCUGGAGGCUGGAUACUGAAGGCCGGGUUUGGGUAAAAAUGAGAGGGAGGGGGAGGGGUGGGGUUUAAGGUCCCAGCCAAAGUGUCUCCUGCAGGAGGUGGUGUGUCGGCAUGGAGGGAUUCCCGCUCCUCUGAAGUCUGGCGGUCGGUAUCUGGUUACUCCUGUAGGUCUGCCAUGAUUACCCUCCACUCACAUUCCACAGCCCUCAUUUGCUCCAAUCCACACGGGGAUCGCACAAAGUCUGCGGGACACACGGGACAAAUGCACACAUGAAUACGGGGACCAGCAGCCAGAACGAUAAACCAACGAUAAACCAACUUCAGACUCAAAACACGCAGCUUUUGUGGCCCUUUAAAUCUCUGCGAGUUUGGACGACGGCCUUUUGACUGCGGCUGAGGUCUGCGUCGCCGCUGUAGUGGUAACCUGGUUGUAAAAUGCCAGAAGUGCUGUGAUCCACAUGGGGGUGUUUGUCAAGUCACACCAAACUGUGAGGGGAGCGGCGGUAACGGGGUGGUGAAGCCCACCCCCCCCCCGAUUCACCCCCCCACCAGACCUCGUCCGUUGCCCUCCUGCUGGAAGGAAUGCUGUUACAGACGCCCAAUCAGCUGCUGGCAUGUUGCAAAGCUCUCCUGGGGCUUUACAUGCUCCUGCACAGAGUGCAACCGAUUUAUGACAUUGGUGUUUGUACACAUAUCUGCAUGCUGUGUGUGUGUGUGUGUGUGUGUGUG